GAUGAACGCUGGCGGCGUGCUUAACACAUGCAAGUCGAACGGGAAAUCUUUCAUUGAGACUUCGGUGGAUUUGAUUUAUUUCUAGUGGCGGACGGGUGAGUAACGCGUGGGUAACCUGCCUUAUACAGGGGGAUGACAGUCAGAAAUGGCUGCUAAUACCGCAUAAGCGCACAGAGCUGCAUGGCUCAGUGUGAAAAACUCCGGUGGUAUAAGAUGGACCCGCGUUGGAUUAGCUAGUUGGUGGGGUAACGGCCCACCAAGGCGACGAUCCAUAGCCGGCCUGAGAGGGUGAACGGCCACAUUGGGACUGAGACACGGCCCAGACUCCUACGGGAGGCAGCAGUGGGGAAUAUUGCACAAUGGGGGAAACCCUGAUGCAGCGACGCCGCGUGAAGGAAGAAGUAUCUCGGUAUGUAAACUUCUAUCAGCAGGGAAGAUAGUGACGGUACCUGACUAAGAAGCCCCGGCUAACUACGUG
rnacentral:rRNA from 1 species